GGAUGGAGGACAGGGUGGAUGAGCUGAGUCCCCUGACAGAUGAAAGGAUUAUCCUGCCUCUUCUUGGCCAUUCUACUCCCCAAACUCAAUGGCUGUCAACAAGGUCCAGCAAAUUUACCAUAUCCAGGAUGAAUGCUGGAGUCCCCUGGAGGAGACUAAAGAAGCCUGCAAGCAGUUCAUGGACUGGUGAUGCCAAGAGCACCCUACAUUUGCUGUGGGCCCAAAGGUCUGGCCUGCCACAAAACAUCUCAGGACAAGCAGACCUUCUCAGACGUCAAAUCCUCAGAUCUUUCUAAAUCUGCAAACAGGAACAGAGGAUCUGGAACUUAUCCAAUACUGUAUGGAAAGAACAAAGCUGAGCCUCCAAGGUUAUGCCCUUGAGAGUUCCCAUCUCCAGGCCUGCUGAACGUCUGACCCUGAUAAGGAAGAGAAAGAAGAGGAGUAGGGAGGAAUCAAUGAGCUUCGUCAGUCCUCUACAACCUCAUGUUUGGAGGGGCUAUGUGACCAAGACCAUGGAGAAGGACUAAGAAUGGAGAAAUUGGUUGCUGCAGGAAAAGGAAAAGGACUGAGAGGCACAUUGGGAAAUGCACCAGGACAUCAUUGGUCUGCUCAGACAACAAACACAAAUGUUCCAGAACAUAUUAACCUACAUGGCCAGGGCCGGCUCUA